GAGCAUGUAGCUCAGUGGAUAGAGUAUCAGAUUCCGAACCUGAUGGUCGUGGGUUCAAUUCCCGCCAUGCUCA
rnacentral:tRNA from 1 species